rnacentral:rRNA from 1 species
CUACGGGAGGCUCCAGUGAGGAAUUUUGCGCAAUGGGGGAAACCCUGACGCAGCAACGCCGCGUGAGCGAAGAAGGCCUUCGGGUCGUAAAGCUCUGUCAAGUGGGAAAAAAAUUCUUUGAUGAACAGUCAAAGGACUUGAUGGUACCACUGGAGGAAGCACCGGCUAACUCCGUGCCAGCAGCCGCGGUAAUACGGAGGGUGCAAGCGUUGUUCGGAAUUACUGGGCGUAAAGAGCGUGUAGGCGGUUUGACAAGUCAGAUGUGAAAGCCCCGGGCUCAACCCGGGAAGUGCAUUUGAAGCUGUUUCACUCGAGUAUGGGAGAGGAGAUUGGAAUUCCUGGUGUAGAGGUGAAAUUCGUAGAUAUCAGGAGGAACACCCGUGGCGAAGGCGAUUCUCUGGACCAAUACUGACGCUGAGACGCGAAAGCGUGGGGAGCAAACAGGAUUAGAUACCCUGGUAGUC